GACGAACGCUGGCGGCGUGCUUAACACAUGCAAGUCGUACGGUAAGGCCCUUUCGGGGGUACACGAGUGGCGAACGGGUGAGUAACACGUGAGUAACCUGCCCACAACUUUGGGAUAACGCUAGGAAACUGGUGCUAAUACUGGAUAUGUGCUCCUGCUGCAUGGUGGGGGUUGGAAAGCUCCGGCGGUUGUGGAUGGACUCGCGGCCUAUCAGCUUGUUGGUGGGGUAGUGGCCUACCAAGGCGGCGACGGGUAGCCGGCCUGAGAGGGUGACCGGCCACAUUGGGACUGAGAUACGGCCCAGACUCCGACGGGAGGCAGCAGUGGGGAAUAUUGCACAAUGGGCGCAAGCCUGAUGCAGCAACGCCGCGUGCGGGAUGACGGCCUUCGGGUUGUAAACCGCUUUCAGCAGGGACGAAGCUUUUUGUGACGGUACCUGCAGAAGAAGCACCGGCUAACUACGUG
rnacentral:rRNA from 1 species